CGGCUGCAGCCAGAGCAGAGGUGUCAGCGCGACAGCGAGUGUUGUUCCAGCUUUGGUGGUUCCAGCACACAUUGUUCAAGAGGCCAAUCCACACACUGAGUGGAGCCAAAUGCCAGCGAGGCGUCGCACAAUGGAAAUGCACAGGAUGUCAAAUUGUAUAACUCACUUGGAGAAGAAGAUGUGAGAAGAGCCAAAGCAAAUGUUUCAUGUCCUGCCCCUGGGAAAAAGAGAACAAAGCCCAUGAAGCCUGCAGAGAGUGAACAGAAUCCUUGCAGUGCUGUUUAUCGCCGGCCCUUCGGGGACAGGGUGAUUCAUUUGCUUGCUCUGAGGACUUAGAAGAAGCCAGAGUUACUUGCUGGCUUGCAGAGAGAUGGAGUCAUGCAAAAGGACAAGGGCACCCUUGGGAAGAUCCUUCAGCAGGUAGCCAAGUGGAAUCCAAAGGAGAAUUCCUUCAGUCGGAAGGAACAUCUAUUUCACACCCUUCAGACUGAUUGGCCUGACUACACUGACAUAGACAGACAGAAUUUGAAGUUAAUACUUUCUGGGUAAGUUCAGUCUUUGGGAGAAAAGGAAAAAAAGGCUCUGGAAAUGAAGCCAAGAUUCUUAGAAUAUGCUGAGGUAGCAGGGACCUGCCAGGAUCCUGGUGCUGCACAGGACACCACAAGAAUCACACCCUGUGCCCAAGGGUGUUGUCCAAACAUUUCUGGAAGCCUUUCUGCAGUGACCACUGGCCUGGGCGGGCCUGUUGCAGUGCUCAAGCACCCUCUGGGCCAUGAAUGUUUUCCUGAUAUCCUGCCUAAAGCUCCCUCAACUCAGCUUCAUGCUGUUUCCUUGAGUCCUGAACUGAAGGUAUGUUUUCCUUGCAUGGAAAGAACUGACAGUUGAUAUUUAGGCUUUUUAACUUGAACUAUUGAAUCAUCCAUACAGAAAAUCAGCUCCAUCUCAGAACACCACCAACACCAGCCAAGCGACAUCUCUGGGACCUUCUGAGAGAGACACUCCAGCAAAUCUGCUAAGAAAGGGCCUCUGGCUUCCAACUUUACCAGUCCUGUGAUGAGCAAGAAGAGGAGAAUUGGUCACCAGCCCAGUCAUGUCCAGGCAGCAGCUGGUGGCCUCUUUUCUUCCUUCCAUCUGCCUUCCACAUCUCUUUAUUCUUUGGACAUGUCUCCAAGUGUUGGCUCAGUUUCCCCCUGCACCCAUAUUGUACAACAAACAGAGAAAUUUCAUCUUUCUACCAUCCCAGGACCUGCCAGGGUGGAAAAGGAGAUCCCCAAUUCAAAUCGGAAAACAAAUGAAUUGGGGAGGCUGAAGCAGUUGCAUCCCUUGGAUGCAAUAAUAUUAAUUAAUAUUAAUACCUUCGAUGAAGGUAUUAAUGUGCUGGUUUUCCUGACUCCUGUGUGCAUAACUGUGGUGUAAAAUUAGGUUAUUAAGUGAAGAUUAAUAACCCAAAUUAGGGUGCAAGUGCCACCCUUUCCCAAAGUCAACAGUAAAAAUAUUAUUGAACAGGAAAUGCAAAACUAGGGAGAUAGAAAGAAAUAACAGAAGAGAGGCAGGGUGAGGGGAAGAGAGAGACAUUCAGCAGGAAGAUAUCAUCCCCACAUGGGCCCUCUGUCAUCCAGCCAGUCCUUCCUCACCCUUGGUCUUCUCGGUGGUGGGGGUUCCCAAGUCUCUCUGGAGGUACCACCUUUCUACUGUCCAAGACUGGGGUAUCCACAGGGUGGUCACAACUGUCCCCACAUCUUGGGCUAGAAGCCAUGGAAGCAGUGAUUUUCCACAGUCUUGGCAGUUUAUGGGAACAUGUCGGUCAAAUCUCAGUGAUUCCAGGGUUGUUCAUUGAACUCAACACUUUCAUGAAAACUCCAAAAGUGCAAAAGCUACAAAAACCUAUAAAACCUGGGCUGUCAUUUCCUGGAGCUCUACUUUAAACUACGGUGUGAAUUUUUCUUUAUGCCAGCUGCAGAAUUUCUUUCUUCAAAAGUGGUGGAAGUGGUACAGACUGAAAACAACACUGAAAAGCUAAACAGAAAUGCAUAAAGAACACUUGAUUUCUGAUGACAGGGACACAGGCAGUAGGGUAGAGUUCAGUUGCUUUGUUAAAUCUGUGGCUUAUCUCUUUUGGAGGUUGACCUUGCAAAUUCCAAGUUGGGUUUGGCGUGGAGGAAGGUUUAGAGUGUGCAGAUGCCUCUUGCAAGUGCUGGUGUGCCUGUAGAGACAGGUGCUUUGAGAUGGUCUUCCCACAUUUCUUCUGGACAUGCACACGGUACCUGCAAACCUUGGGAUGCCUUUGAAGGAUUUCUGCUUGAAUCCAUAAACACAUGAGCAGCUUUUAUCAGGAGCCAGUACCAAAAUUCUGCCCAGCUGAUGAAGGAAAAUCUGUUCUGUGAUUCAAGUAGGGUUUAGGCUGAAGCUUUUGUGUGGACUGAGCCAUGAGAGCAAAUGUACUUUUGGAAAUUAAAUGCUCACAGCAAAGGCAAGUUGUAUUGAACAUGCUCUGACUAUUGGUAUUUCUGUCCAGUUUUACUACUAUAUUUACACUUCUUUUUAUACUUCUCCUAUACCAUGUAAUAGUUUGAACACUAAAAUCAACAAAAGCAAGUGGAAUGUGACACAAACAGCUCUUUCCUCAAGAUUUAAAGCUCAGGUGGCCCAAAGAUUGGUAAGAAUGGCUGAGUUUGAACAAGAUUUGUUUGGGCCCCUGGAAUUGGCAGGGAAGUGGGGAUAAAAAUAUGGCAUGAGAAGAACUCAGCUUUCUUCUUCAUUUUUUGUUAGAACUUCGAUGUUGGUCUCUCUCAAGCUGUUGUCUUUUGUGAAGCUGCAUCUGUUGUUGCAAGAAUUGAAUGGCUCUGCAGAUGAUACCUCAUGCUUUAUAUUUGAGAAAAGCUGAGCUGGAGCUAACACUGUGGGAAUGAACAACCUGUAGGAUAAAGUGGCCAUUCCCUCUUUCUCAACCCCAGGACAGGAUACUGUGGAAAACGUUGUGUGUGCCAUAUUAAUAAAUGUUGUUGCUUCUUCUGAACAAUUUAUUGUGAAAAGAAAGUACUGAAGGACUUUUUCAAGACUGUCCAAUGGGGAUCUUUUGACCUUUUAAUGAUUUCCUGAUGAAGAAUGUCAAAAUUCUGCUUUUCUGCAGGAACAAAAGAUCCUUCCAUUGCCUCCACAUGCUCUGCAACAAGCAACUUGAGAAAAUACAGAGCCAUUGUCUCCUUGGAGCAACGCCAGCGCUACAAGGAUUACUUCAAUGCAGAGUAUGAGGGAUAUCAGAAUUUAUAUUUUAAGAUUGACAAGACCAUCAAGAAAUUCAGACAAUUUCAGGAGCAAUGGAAGUCUGUGACUCCAGGCUCCAAAGCCUAUCAGGUAAAGAAGGAUAAAACCAGGAAGACUGUGCUUCAUCACAACAGUGUUUUGGAUUCCCUGGAGCUGCUCAGUGAACAGAGGCAAACUGUGGAACUGGCAUAUGUGCUCAGACACUGUUUGGGCUGGGUCUGAUUUUGGCAAGACCCUGCCCAAAAGCCUCUGUUUGAGCUGUCUAUGAAGAAACAGUUGUCUAUGAGAGAUGUCCCAAGCAGAGUCUUAGAGCAUGGGGUGCUGCUGUUGCCUAUUGAGAGGCUUAAUUGCAGAUCUUGGGUGAUGCUGGGAGAUGGAGAUUUGUUUGGCAAACCUCCCAGAAGAGUGGUGGCUCACAGAGAAGAGAAUCUCUAGAAUCAGACUGAGUGUGCUUUUAGUGUUUUACCAAAGUGUGCAUCUUAUGGUGCCAGUGAAACAUUUUUCAUGGUUUGUUUUGGGGUUUUUUUGGGGGAGUUUUUUGGGUUUUUUUGGUUUUUUUUUUCUUUUUUUUUUUGUUUUGUUGGUUUUUUUUCCUCCCUUGAAGAUGCUGCGUCAUUGAAUCCUAGCAGAUUAUCAGCAGUUACAACAGGUACGUGUGACACCAGACCUGCAGGGCCAUGGCAACUGCUGAGUCUGCCUCAAGGCUUUUUUAAAGCAAAGGACAUCACCUUCUAAACUAGGCAGAAGUGUUUGCAUGCCCCGAUUUUCUUUUGCUUUCUCCUUCACAGGGUAGCCCCAGCUACUCUGAAAUGAGGAGCAGGUGCCAGUACCUCCACAAGAAGCUGGCCCAUAUUCAGAGCUGCAUUUCUGAAUUUGACCAGCAGUGAGUGGAGUACUGGCACCAGAAAUCUGCUUCAGCCUGGUGAAAUCUGUGACAUCUGGAUUUUUUAUUUGAACUAGAAAUUAGGUUUUUAGGAUUAUUUAAAUUAGUACAGAACCGUAGGCUAUGUCAGCACUUUGGAGUAGAUUAUUUCUUAAAAAUGUAGGAUUAGUUCAAAGAAAUUUAGUCAGUUUAAGAAGUUGAAAGGUGAUAGUAUUGAAUAUUAACAAUAAAGAAAUGUCACUAUUGAUAAUUCCUUCUCUCAUUGUUGCUUGUAUCAUAUUUGGAUUGGGUUUCUUCUGGUCACUUGUUUUCUUCAAGUCCUAAGUUUGUCCACUGAAAUAAAUUUAUCAAUAGAGGGCACUACCUCUACUAUGAAGUUGUGCUCAUUUUAAGAAAAGAUUGUGGCAAAUGGAAAUUCUUUAUGAUAAUAUAAAAUUCUUUAUUAUUCUUGUUAAUUUAAACUCUUUACCUAAAGUGGUGGAAGGCUUGGAAGUUUGUACAAACCUGUCCCCAAAUGACUUUGUUGUGGAGGGUUACAGAGGAGUGCACAUGGGCUGCUCUAAGCUGUCAGCUAAAGCAGCUCUCAGGACUGCUUGGAGAUCAUGGCCUCACCUGGUCAGUGAGCAGAGGAAUAUCCGGUUCUUUUGCAAGUGAUAUGUUAAACACAUUUACAAGUGUUGGAGGCAAGGUCCUUCAAUGGGUAUUAAAGAGAAGUUGGGUUCAAGUGUCCUUAUGAAAACACUGUCCCUUUUUUAGCACUUUCAAAACUAGUCUGUAACAACCAGUCUUUCUAGAGAGACACAGAUGUUGAUUCCUGCACAGACCUAUGGGGGCAUUGAAGACUAGUCCUUUUCCUAAGUUUCCUGCCAUUUAUUUAUUUAUUCAGCAGACAAGGUGAAGAUGUUACCAGCAAUGCCAUAACCUUGUUUUUGGAGAGAUAUGAAAUUGACUGAGGGAGGAUAAUAUUUGGGAAUACUCAAAGGUGGCUGGGAAUGCCCCUUUCUUCCUUGCAGAUCAUUCUACAAAUUCCUCCAUUGUCUCCAUGCCAACGAUGUUGAGUCCCUGUACCUGAGAGGCCUUGGGGUGUUUUGUGAUUGAACACCUGAGCCGUUGUUUCCCUUCUGUUCUCCUUCAAGCCAAGUUGAAGAAAAUGUCACCUCCUAAACCCUGAGACUUGUGUCCAUUUCUGGCUGGCUCAGGGGGUGCUCCUCCAGCUCUGCAGUGCAGCAGCCCCAGGGACGCUG